rnacentral:tRNA from 1 species
AGUCUUAUAUUCAAAAAAUGAUAUAAAAUUGCAAAUUUUAAGUUGAUUAAUUUAAUAUCUAAGGCUU